AUGUCUUGUGUUGGAAGUCGAAGCAUCCUGGUUGGCAAUUCCCUGCACUGGUUUAUUUUUGGUACUCAGACUGGCAUCCUUAAGCUUGAUUUGGAUACUCGGAGCCUAGCUGUUGUAGAGGUGCCACCGGAUGCCCAUUCUAGUCAUCAUGGCCUCUAUCUGAGUACGCUGGGUGGCGGGCUUGGCUUCAUCGUUGUGUCAGACGACUUCGUAGCUCAACUAUGGGUGAGGACGACUGAUUUUGAUGGAGUUGCUGGAUGGAUGCCGGCACAAGCAAUUGAGUUGAACAAGCUUCUUCCGCUGAGACCAGGCGAGUGGACAAAUCUGCAAACGGUGUUGGGUGUCGCUGGAGAUGAGAAUGUGAUAUUUGUGUCAACAAGUGGAGGCGUCUUCAUGGUCCAUCUUGAGUCCUUGCAGUUUAAGAAGAUUUUUGAAAGCAAUCCUUUCGCCGAAUGUACGACAUCAACCAUCCACCCAUUCACAAGUUUUUUUACUGCAGGCAAUAACAUGAAUGUACAAGGAUAA
rnacentral:rRNA from 1 species